rnacentral:rRNA from 1 species
GACGUAGGGUGCGAGCGUUGUCCGGAUUUAUUGGGCGUAAAGAGCUCGUAGGCGGCUCGUCGCGUCGACCGUGAAAACCCGCAGCUUAACUGCGGGCUUGCGGUUGAUACGGGCGGGCUAGAGUUCGGUAGGGGAGACUGGAAUUCCUGGUGUAGCGGUGAAAUGCGCAGAUAUCAGGAGGAACACCGGUGGCGAAGGCGGGUCUCUGGGUCGAUACUGACGCUGAGGUGCGAAAGCGUGGGGAGCAAACAGG